rnacentral:rRNA from 1 species
AGCAGCCGCGGUAAUUCCAGCUCCAAUAGCGUAUAUUAAAGUUGUUGCAGUUAAAAAGCUCGUAGUUGAAUUUCGGGAUCAAUAUGUUGGUCGUGCCUCGGUACGUACUAGCAUAUUGGUUUCUCCUUUCUGAAGAACCAUGAUGUCAUUUAUUUGGUGUCGUGGGGAAUCAGGACUGUUACUUUGAAAAAAUUAGAGUGUUUAAAGCAGGCUCACGCUUGAAUACAUUAGCAUGGAAUAAUGAAAUAGGACGUUUGAUUCUAUUUUGUUGGUUUCUAGGAUCGACGUAAUGAUUAAUAGGGAUAGUUGGGGGCAUUAGUAUUCAAUUGUCAGAGGUGAAAUUCUUGGAUUUAUUGAAGACUAACUACUGCGAAAGCAUUUGCCAAGGAUGUUUUCAUUAAUCAAGAACGAAAGUUAGGGGAUCGAAGACGAUCAGAUACCGUCGUAGUCUUAACCAUAAAC